rnacentral:sRNA from 1 species
UCUUUAAGACACCCCACCAUCGCUCACUUUCCACAGCCCGGCCCCAAGCCGGGCUGUU